UGAAAAUGAGCGGAGAGUGGGGCGAGGCGAUAACACUUUCUGCGGAAUAACAGGGACACACCCAAACGAUCUCAACUUACGAAAUUGGAUAUCUGAGAUGGAUGAGGUUCAUGGUAUCCUUAACGACCAAAAUAUACAGGGUUCAAACAUGCAAACGGACAGCACAGUAGGAUUGAUGCUAGACUCCGGAGGCAGUCUUCACAUUUUUGUCAAUAAAGAGAAGUUGUAUAUUCGUACGAGGUUUCUCAACCCUGCUACGCUGUUUUUGACCUCAGCUUUGAGGUGAAAAAGGUUCUAGCACUUCCUACAAGAAAAAUGAACUAAUUUUACGGAUGCUCUUAAAGGAGAUGGAUGCCUAGCUCGUCGGCAUCACUAGUCCACAAACAACUUUUCUUACUUACUUGAUCUGUCCGCAGGUGAUCUUAAAGUAUAAGUUUCUUAACACUUGUUAAACUUUUCAAAAGCUGGUGACUUUCUGAUGAGCCUAUAUAGUGUGUUGUCGUUUUUAAGGUUAGUCUUUCAGUAUUUCGACUAGGAAUUGUAGGAUUACAGGAGUGGAAAUGCUAUGGUUGCUUAGAUAUUGACUUAGGAACUGUAACAGUAAGUAUAAACUGUUGUUAGUUGGAUAAUUGGACACCUUGUAAUAGUACCUUGAUGACUCCGAAGAAAAGCUAGAAGUGCAUUACUUAUGUGUGUAACUUUGAUCAUUAUUUCCUAACUAGAACUAUUUGAGGUAUACUCAAUGUUUUGAAACACUACAAUUAGCAUCUACUGGUAUAUAAAUCAAUUUUAAAAGCUUUUGACUUCAGUGUUCUUUGGUUUGAGUAUUAUUAUUUAAUGUUUGAUUAUCAUAAACAGGUGUCAAUACUUGGGAAUUCAUGUAGCCUGGGCUUUGGUCGACUUUUGGUGUUGUUCAAAGUGGUUUUAUGUGGAACAAUAUGGUUAUGAUGGCGUCCAUUCGAUUCGGACGUAAGGUUGAUAUAGUUGGGACGAUAUGGUUUUGGGUCGACAUGACCGCCCCCACCCUCUCGUUUAUUGUAGUCUUUGUCUAUGACCGAAUAUCAAUCAAUUGUGCUUCAUUGGCAAACUUUUGCACAAGUCACGUGUUUAUAAUAAAUAAGACUCGUGUGAACUAUUGUUUGUACUUUGCUGAAAUGUUUUGCAGAAAUCAUAUAAAAUUUAGUGCAUUUUAAGAAAGCGGUUUUUGUCGACCAAUGUACACAUGUAUUUCAACAAAUACUUUAAACUGUACAGUGUAAUAUAACAAACACACACUUA